CACCAUUCGCACCCGGCUUCUGUCGGGGGCGGCGUUGGGGAUCGGCCGCCCGUAACUGGGAGGCCGCCCCCUAAAUGGAGUGGCGACCGCGCCGUAGCCUCCUCUGCGUAGUAGUAACUAACCUCGCAGGCGGAGAGCGGUGCGGCCCGCCGUAAAACCCCCAACCUUUCUUCA
rnacentral:misc_RNA from 1 species